rnacentral:rRNA from 1 species
AGAGUUUGAUCCUGGCUCAGGACGAACGCUGGCGGCGCGCUUAACACAUGCGAGCCGAACGAAGAGCGAUGGAAGCUUGCUUCUAUCAAUCUUAGUGGCGAACGGGUGAGUAACGCGUAAUCAACCUGCCCUUCAGAGGGGGACAACAGUUGGAAACGACUGCUAAUACCGCAUACGAUCUAAUCUCGGCAUCGAGGAUAGAUGAAAGGUGGCCUCUACAUGUAAGCUAUCACUGAAGGAGGGGAUUGCGUCUGAUUAGCUAGUUGGAGGGGUAACGGCCCACCAAGGCGAUGAUCAGUAGCCGGUCUGAGAGGAUGAACGGCCACAUUGGGACUGAGACACGGCCCAGACUCCUACGGGAGGCAGCAGUGGGGAAUCUUCCGCAAUGGACGAAAGUCUGACGGAGCAACGCCGCGUGAGUGAUGACGGUCUUCGGGUUGUAAAGCUCUGUUAAUCGGGACGAAAGGCCUUCUUGCAAAUAGUGAGAAGGAUUGACGGUACCGGAAUAGAAAGCCACGGCUAACUACGUGCCAGCAGCCGCGGUAAUACGUAGGUGGCAAGCGUUGUCCGGAAUUAUUGGGCGUAAAGCGCGCGCAGGCGGAUCAGUCAGUCUGUCUUAAAAGUUCGGGGCUUAACCCCGUGNAUGGGAUGGAAACUGCUGAUCUAGAGUAUCGGAGAGGAAAGUGGAAUUCCUAGUGUAGCGGUGAAAUGCGUAGAUAUUAGGAAGAACCCAGUGGCGAAGGCGACUUUCUGGACGAAAACUGACGCUGAGGCGCGAAAGCCAGGGGAGCGAACGGGAUUAGAUACCCCGGUAAUCCUGGCCGUAAACGAUGGGUACUAAGGGGUGGAAGUAUCGACCCCUUCUGUGCCUGAGUUAACGCAUAGUACCCCGCCUGGGGAGC